rnacentral:piRNA from 1 species
UAACAGGGUAAACACCGGAAAAGGACGC